rnacentral:rRNA from 1 species
CCUACGGGUGGCAGCAGUGGGGAAUAUUGGACAAUGGGGGGAACCCUGAUCCAGCCAUGCCGCGUGUGUGAAGAAGGCCCUCGGGUUGUAAAGCACUUUCAGUGAGGAAGAACGCCUGGUGGUUAAUACCCAUCAGGAAAGACAUCACUCACAGAAGAAGCACCGGCUAACUCCGUGCCAGCAGCCGCGGUAAUACGGAGGGUGCGAGCGUUAAUCGGAAUUACUGGGCGUAAAGCGCGCGUAGGUGGCUUGAUAAGCCGGUUGUGAAAGCCCCGGGCUCAACCUGGGAACGGCAUCCGGAACUGUCAAGCUAGAGUGCAGGAGAGGAAGGUAGAAAUCCCGGUGUAGCGGUGAAAUGCGUAGAGGUCGGGAGGAAUACCAGUGGCGAAGGCGGCCUUCUGGACUGACACUGACACUGAGGUGCGAAAGCGUGGGUAGCAAACAGGAUUAGAUACCCUUGUAGUC